CCCUUAGAUGUUCUGGGCUGCACGCGUGUUACAAUCGGGAGUACAACAAGAUUGCAAAUCCUAGUGGAUGAGUGGUUCUUCGAAAUUUUCUGAAGACUGGGAUAGUUGAUUGAAAUUAUUCAACUCAAACGAGGAAUUCCUUGUAAUUGUAAUUCAUUAUAUUGUAAUGAAUACGUCCCUGCCCUUUGUACACACCGCCCGUCGCUCCUACCGAUUGAACGAUCCGGUGAAUUAUUUGGAGUAGCUCUGGAAGUUGCAGAACUUCCUAUGUCACGAAAUUUUGUAAACCUUAUCGUUUAGAGGAAGGAGAAGUCGUAACA
rnacentral:rRNA from 1 species